GAUGAACGCUGGCGGCGUGCCUAAUACAUGCGAGUCGAGCGAACAGAUGAGGAGCUUGCUCCUCUGACGUUAGCGGCGGACGGGUGAGUAACACGUGGAUAACCUACCUAUAAGACUGGGAUAACUUCGGGAAACCGGAGCUAAUACCGGAUAAUAUAUUGAACCGCAUGGUUCAAUAGUGAAAGACGGUUUUGCUGUCACUUAUAGAUGGAUCCGCGCCGCAUUAGCUAGUUGGUAAGGUAACGGCUUACCAAGGCAACGAUGCGUAGCCGACCUGAGAGGGUGAUCGGCCCCACUGGAGCUGAGACACGGUCCAGACUCCUACGGGCGGCAGCAGUAGGGAAUCUUCCGCAAUGGGCGAAAGCUUGACGGAGCAACGCCGCGUGAGUGAUGAAGGUCUUCGGAUCGUAAAACGCUGUUAUUAGGGAAGAACAAAUGUGUAAGUAACUAUGCACGUCUUGACGGUACCUAAUCAGAAAGCCACGGCUAACUACGU
rnacentral:rRNA from 1 species